rfam:Spinacia oleracea cultivar SynViroflay scaffold7139.con0009.1, whole genome shotgun sequence.
UUAUCGGUGAUGAGGCCUUAACAUAUAAGGAUGGUCCGACUAUGUGUCGGAUCUUCGAUGCAAUACUCUUGUUAACGCUUGGCUUCUGAGAUAA